CGAAAAUGAUUUGAAUGAUAGAGAGACUGUGCUGGCCCCUGGCAUGUGCACGUCCCUUCUGUCAUAUACCCACACCUGUGCACCAAUCGUAGAUCUUUCGAUGUUGACAUCGACGAGCUUAGUUAUUAGGCAGUCUUUCUAACGAGGGGCUGGCGAAAGCAAGCUAAAGGAUCAGGAUCAAAGUUGGUGUCGAUCUCGACCGUCCGAUCAAGCUUAGUUAUUAGGCAGUCUUUGAAAAGAGGCUGGCGAAAGCAAGCAAGCAAGGCAAGGUCGAUGUCGACGUCAAUGGCAAGUCCUUGAUCUCGUCAAGCUUAGUUACUAGCCAGUCCUUGACUGGCGAAAGCAAGCCGAGGACGAAUGUCGAUGUCGAUGUAGAGGAUGGAAUCAAUGUCGAUCAUCUUAGCUUAGUUACUAGGCAGUCUUUUGGCUGGCGAAAGCAAGCUAGAGGAUGUCGAUGUCGAGGACAUCAAUGGAUCUAUGUCAUCAUCAUCACACACUAUCGUAUGGCCAGAAUGUUUAUAAAUGAAAUACAACUUUCAGCAAUGGAUCUCUUGGUUCUCGCAUCGAUGAAGAACGCAGCGAAUUGCGAUAAGUAAUGUGAAUUGCAGAUUUCCAGUGAAUCAUCGAAUCUUUGAACGCAUCUUGCGCUCCUUGGUAUUCCGAGGAGCAUGCCUGUUUGAGUGUCAUUUAAUUAUCAACCACCGUUCUUUAGGGAACGAUGGGUUGGAGUUGGGGGUUGCUGGCGACGACCUGGUCGUCAGCUCUCCUUAAAUACAUUAGCGAUCGAGUUGGGCUAUCAAGUCUUUCGACAUGCACGGCCAUUGACGUGAUAAUGAUCGUCCUGGCUGGAGUGUCUAACCUAGACUAUGCUACAUAGAUCGCUUCUAACAGAAAAGAUCCUUGAACUUUGUGAAGCUUAGCUAUUAGGCAGUCCUUUGAAAAGAGGCUGGCGAACACGAGCGAAAGACAGGGAGAGGAUCGAAAUCCUUGAUCAGCUUAGUUACUAGGCAGUCCUUUGAAAAAGAGGCUGGCGAACACAAGCGGAGAGAAAGGAUGAAUAUAAAGACU
rnacentral:rRNA from 1 species